ACACCUCAACUCUUCAUGGUUUUCCAUGAUGAGCUUGGACUUUGGGGGACUUGCUGGCCUACAGUCAGCUCCUCUAAAAUAAAUCAGCUUGCCAGUGUUUGGUGGGUAUCGCAGGUGUGAUAACUAUCUACGCUUGUGGUUUUCCACCGAGUAACCUUCAGCAGUGGAGGUUCACUGGAGCUCACAGACGUCUCUCCUCAGCGAGGGACAGCCCUUUGAAU
rnacentral:misc_RNA from 1 species